CCGUUCUGAAGUGGCUCAAAAAUUAUAUAAUUGAUUUUGCCUAAGUGAUGAGUUUUGUGUCAGACGAACUUGCAAAUGUUUUAAAAUCGGUGUACAGGAUGGAGGAGGGUGGUGAAAAUAACAGCGAUGAGGAUUCUUCUUCUAAGGUAGACAAAAAGAAUGAGGAGGUUUUAAAAGAGAAACGCUCUAGAAAACAUAAGCACAAGAAACACUCCAAGUCGAAGUCAAAGGACAAGAAAAAGCAUAAAAAACGAAAACUCAAGUCAAGAUCAAGAUCACGUUCACUGUCUCGAUCGAGAUCACGGACACCAGACGAAAUUGAAAUCGAUUUUGUUCUUGAGAAAGAAAAAAAUCUUGACACCGAAGAAAAGGAGGGUGAGCCUGCGUUACAGUAUGGCACUAGUGGUUCUGGUAACGUUGUUCACUCAGCACAGACUAACUGCGACGAAAAACCUUCUAUCCAGGAUGUUCAUGGAUCCAAAACUUUGGAUUCCAAAGAAGAAAAGCUAGAGAGUUCUAUGAAAGGUAUCACUUCCAGAAACGACAAAAGUGACAUGAUUUUGGCUCCAUUUGCUGCAAAAAUAGAUGUGAAAAGAAUUUGUGGCAGUAAUCGUCCAAGGAGUGCUGCAAAAGAGUUGAAAAAUAAAAAGAGCAAUUCAUCCUCCGGGAGUAAGUCAAAGUCACCAGAUUCUGAAUUGUCCGGAAAUGACAAUGAGAGAGACUCAAGAUCUCAUUCCAGUGUCAGAGAGACUAGAAGAAAGUCCAGUCCACGAUCAAGUUCCAAGCAAUCAGCAAACAAGUCUAGGUCACGGUCACACUCAAGAAAAAAAUCAUCUAAAAAGAAAUCAAGGUCGCGGUCACAUUCAAGGAGUAAAACAUCCAAAAAGAGAUCAAGGUCAAGGUCAAACUCAAAAGGGAAUCACCGCAAAAGGACUGUAUCCAAGUCAAGAUCACGUUCAUAUUCAUACAACAGUAGGUCAAGGUCUAGGUCUCCAAGACGAAGGAAAAGAUCAUUCUCUAGAUCAGGAAGACAUAAAAGAUCACCCUCCAGGUCACGCCAUAAAUCUCCCGUACUUAAAAGUUUAAGACAAUUUUCUCCACCUUCCUGGAAAAGAAAUGUAGGAUCUCUCAGGAGGCAAAGGUCAAGAUCACACUCUAGAUCUGGUAGGUCACCUCCAAGGAGAAGGAGUUCUCUAAGAAGGAGACUGUCACGUUCAAGAUCAAAAGGAAGAAGGUCACACUCUAGAUCAAGAACUCAAACCCCAAGGAAGAGAUCACGAUCCUUUUCUAGGGAUAGGAGACACAAAAGAUCCAGGUCAAGGUCAAGCUCAGGAGGAAGAGGUCAAAGGUCAACAUCCAGAGACAGAAGGAGGAAUAGGAGUACUAGAUCUCAGUCAAAAUCAAAGGAAAAAACACAACCAAGCAAUCCUUCAUCAGUGUCUAAUGUACCAGUAACAGAUAAAAUAUCUACUUUGAUUAACAAACCAGUCGCAACUGAUCUUUCUGCACAGCAGACAAAAGUUGCUCAGAGGGCUGGAGGGAAAACUAUUGCUGAACUUACUGCUUUUUGUAAAAAGCUACAGGAUGAAAAGGAUAGUGUAAACAGUGGUAACACAAGUGUGAUAACUCUAAAAAAGGAAGAAGAUUCUCAGCCAGUAGCACACCAUCCAUUUUUGAUAAAAGAAAAACCAGAUAUCACAAUACCACCUGUCAUCUUUCCAGUGAACAAGCCCAUGAUCCCAAUAGUAGGGUCAUCCAAACCACUGCAGGAGCAGUUUCCUGUGUCAAGUGGAAAUAAACAUAGAGAAAAAGAAGAUGUCAGUGAUGGGGCUGAAAUGGUUACCAACACAGAUGGCACGGCAAUUCAGACACAACCAAAAGUAGAAGUGUUUCCUCAACCUUCUGAUGAGAAACUGGACAUCAGUUACCUUGUUGCUAAGCGAAUGGAUGCGCAACGUCGGCUGCAGACAGACCCUAAUGACAUUGAAGCACUGUUGGUUCUUCAGGAAAUUCAAAUGAAGAUGCAGAAUUGGUGUCAAUCAAAUGUUAAGCCAGGCCAGUUUACUGGAGAGCUUGUGAAGAAUCUUUUGCCAAAGGAAGAUUUGCAGGGAGGCUUCCAGGCAUGGGCUAAAAAGGACAUGUUCCACAACCUCACACCAGUUUCUGGCGGUAUUGGAAUGAAACUUCUCCAAAAGAUGGGUUGGAAACCUGGACAAGUAAUUGGCAAAAGAGGGGAAGGUUAUGCUGAACCCAUUGCUCUCACUGUCAAAAUUGAUAGGAAGGGUCUCAGUGCAGGAAAGGAAAAGGCCACCAAGAAAAGUGCUCCGACAGUUCUGGACCUACAAGCAGUAAAAGGCAUCAACCCCUUUGAAAUGAAGCCUGCAUACAAGCAAUUCAAUUUGCAAUGCCUCUUGAUCCGAUGUUGAGAAUUUUAGCAACACAAGGAGAUUGUACCAUCAAAUGAUGAUCACACGAAGACUUAUUUAUGAUGAAGUCAGGAAAGCACCCUGUGUCUGCCCUGGCUGAGUACUGCAGUAAAAGGAAAUGGCAACUGCCUGACUACACUUUAGUCUUUGAUCAUGG
rnacentral:misc_RNA from 1 species